rnacentral:tRNA from 1 species
UCGGCGGCUUCGGCAAGCCGGGCCGGCUGAGUCGGCUCGUCCUCGGUCUGAUCGGCAGAAGCGCUGUGGCCCUUGGUGUCCGGCUCUUCGCCGUCGAUC